rnacentral:antisense_RNA from 1 species
CUUCAACGACCCCAGCCACAACGGCUCAUCCCGACCCUGGCCGUAGGUCGCCAACAACGCCUGCGCCUC